GCUGUUUUAAAGGAAGGGGAAACAGGGAAGAAGGGAGCUCCCUGCUUCUAGUGAGCAAAGGCAGCCCCCCGAGCUUCCACAGCCCUUCGCAUUCAUUGGGAGAAUGAGCAGGGAGGAGGCGGUGUAAACUGUGAUCCUCUUCCUUGAGUGAGAUGGAAAAAAAAUUAAUUUGCCGCAUCAGUGUCCAUAUCCCAGGUGUCAGAACUGCAAACGAAGGACUGUUUAGGACAUGACCAAAUUCUACUAUGUGCUGGAUCAUCGUAAAUCUCAAAUCUCAUUGUCGUCCAUGGAAGACAAUUCUGAGAAUGUGAAGCCUAGUGUUUUAAAGGGACUGACAUGGUGCUUGGUUCGUGCCUCGAGAAUGUGUCUCUCCAUCCUUAGUUAAGAGUGGAUAAAGGCUGUGGAGAUGGGGUGGAGAGUGAGGAUGGAACGGUGACAGUUGCAGCGAGCCCACCAGUGCCAGCA